CGAAUAAGCCCUUACGGGGAAAGUUUUAAUGCCGAAAGAUGAGCCCGCACUUGAUUAGCUAGUUGGUAAGGUAAAAGCUUACCAAGGCAACGAUCAAUAGCUGUUCUUAGAGGAAGACCAGCCACAUUGGGACUGAGACACGGCCCAGACUCCUACGGGAGGCAGCAGUGGGGAAUCUUGCACAAUGGGGGAAACCCUGAUGCAGCGAUGCCGCGUGAGUGAAGAAGGCCCUUGGGUUGUAAAACUCUUUCGUCGGGGAAGAAAAUGACUGUACCCGAAUAAGAAGGUCCGGCUAACUUCGUGCCAGCAGCCGCGGUAAUACGAAGGGACCUAGCGUAGUUCGGAAUUACUGGGCUUAAAGAGCUCGUAGGUGGUUAAAAAAGUUGAUGGUGAAAUCCCAAGGCUUAACCUUGGAACUGCCAUCAAAACUUUUUAGCUAGAGUGUGAUAGAGGUAAGUGGAAUUUCUAGUGUAGAGGUGAAAUUCGUAGAUAUUAGAAAGAACAUCAAAUGCGAAGGCAACUUACUGGGUCACUACUGACACUGAGGAGCGAAAGCAUGGGUAGCGAAGAGGAUUAGAUACCCUCGUAGUCCAUGCCGUAAACGAUGUGUGCUAGACGUUGGAAAUAUAUUUUUCAGUGUCGCAGCGAAAGCAUUAAGCACACCGCCUGGGGAGUACGACCGCAAGGUUAAAACUCAAAUGAAUUGACGGGGACCCGCACAAGCAGUGGAGCAUGUGGUUUAAUUCGAAGAUACGCGCAGAACCUUACCAACGCUUGACAUGUUCGUCGCGAGACUAAGAGAUUAGUUUCUUCAGUUCGGCUGGACGAAACACAG
rnacentral:rRNA from 1 species